rfam:Camelus ferus unplaced genomic scaffold scaffold1461, whole genome shotgun sequence.
UGAAUGGCUUUUUUCAAAGCCAUAGUACUUGACUCUGAACAUGGAUG